rnacentral:rRNA from 1 species
UGGGGAAUAUUGCACAAUGGGCACAAGCCUGAUGCAGCCAUGCCGCGUGUAUGAAGAAGGCCUUCGGGUUGUAAAGUACUUUCAGUCGGGAGGAAGGUGGUAAGGUUAAUAACCUUAUCAAUUGACGUUACCGACAGAAGAAGCACCGGCUAACUCCGUGCCAGCAGCCGCGGUAAUACGGAGGGUGCAAGCGUUAAUCGGAAUUACUGGGCGUAAAGCGCACGCAGGCGGUUGAUUGAGUCAGAUGUGAAAUCCCCGGGCUUAACCCGGGAAUUGCAUCUGAUACUGGUCAGCUAGAGUCUUGUAGAGGGGGGUAGAAUUCCAUGUGUAGCGGUGAAAUGCGUAGAGAUGUGGAGGAAUACCGGUGGCGAAGGCGGCCCCCUGGACAAAGACUGACGCUCAGGUGCGAAAGCGUGGGGAGCAAACAGG